rnacentral:lncRNA from 1 species
AUUCUGUUCGCCAGGCCUAGGGAGAGAGCACUGGCCCUACUCUGGGCAGGAAGUCAACAGGGGAGUGGAGAGUAAUGCUAAGAAAACAUCCCCCGUCUUUCAGGAGGGUGAACUGCUUUCCCCUGAAAUCGCCACAUCCUCAGUUUCUCAAAAUAAGGGAAAGGAGUCCGCUUGAGCUACUGACAAGAUGAAAGAACUGUUAAGGGGCCUAACGAGAGAAAGAGAAAAGGACUAGGAGGAGAAAAGUGUCUUUCGUGUUAAGGAAGACAGGACGAGGCACACAAGGACCGGCCACGAGCUUGCUAGGAGUUAAUGUAAGCAAUCAGUGAGUGCGUAGUUCGCUACCCAGCAAGAACCAAAUGCUGCUGCUGCUGCUACUGCUGCUGAAGUCGAACUUUAAGAACUCAGUAACCUAAAGAGGAGUUUGAAGAGGUAUCAUGAAACGCCGUCCUGCGGAAACAUCCACCAUCCGGACCACUGAGGGACCCCAGAACCCAACCUCCAACUGAGUGAACACGGGGAAUGCUCAGAUAGAGGUAACUCUAGACGUCCCUUUCCUCCUUUGGAAUUGUUCUAUUCAGAUGUCAGAAUGUAGCAACUGUUUCACAUACAAAUCUGUUUUCGCACUUAGAGAGCACCUAUUAUUAAGGUCUUGUUCUGGGCACAGUGAGGACAGAGAGAUAAAUCAGGACCACCCCCUGCUGUAAGGUAGCUAAGUGGGGGUGAGCCGGAGGUAUGAUGAGAUAUACACACAGUAUGAUACAAGGUAAGAAUUUUAAAUGAAAAAAAAUCCUGUGUUAAGUCACCUCAUCACUUUCAUUCUUAGCUUCCUAAACACACAUUUGAGUACUGCAUCAAGCACCAGAUCAAGCACUUACUAUGUCCUUCACAGAUAGGGCACAGACUUGUAAAAUCAUAUCUGCAAAACCUGUUUUCUUCCAACCACAAGUAGUGUGUUUUGGGAUCAAAAUAUUAUGAACUGUGAGUUAGAAAGCCUAAAUUCCAGCCCCAAUUCUGCCACUAAUCACUUUUGAAGUCCUUUACAAUUCUAAACUUCUGUAAUCAAAUCCUUUCCUGAUAAACCUGUUUUCCAACACCUGCAACAUAAUUUAUUCCAGACUUUCUCAUUC